UCUCCGUUGGUGAGCCAGCGGAGGGAUCAUUACAGGAUCGAAAGACUCCUAUAACCCCUGUGAACUUACUACAAAUACGUUGCUUCGGCGGGUGCCCCGGGUCUCCCGGGGCGUUCAGCCCGCCGGCAGCCUUCAAAUUCUGUUUCUUUGCGUUGGCAUCUCGAGUAUACAAAAAUAAGUUAAAACUUUCAACAACGGAUCUCUUGGUUCUG
rnacentral:misc_RNA from 1 species